rfam:Aspergillus kawachii IFO 4308 DNA, contig: scaffold00013.
GCCCCUGUGGCGCAAUCGGUAGCGCGUAAGACUUGCAAGUACCCCCCAUUACACCCCAAACCUUGAACCUCUGCUAACUGUCAAUGCAGCUAAUCUUAAGGCUGUGGGUUCGAGCCCCACCAGGGGCU